GACGAACGCUGGCGGCGUGCUUAACACAUGCAAGUCGAACGGAAAGGCCCUGCUUUUGUGGGGUGCUCGAGUGGCGAACGGGUGAGUAACACGUGAGUAACCUGCCCUUGACUUUGGGAUAACUUCAGGAAACUGGGGCUAAUACCGGAUAGGAGCUCCUGCUGCAUGGUGGGGGUUGGAAAGUUUCGGCGGUUGGGGAUGGACUCGCGGCUUAUCAGCUUGUUGGUGGGGUAGUGGCUUACCAAGGCUUUGACGGGUAGCCGGCCUGAGAGGGUGACCGGCCACAUUGGGACUGAGAUACGGCACAGACUCGUACGGGAGGCAGCAGUGGGGAAUAUUGCACAAUGGGCGGAAGCCUGAUGCAGCAACGCCGCGUGCGGGAUGACGGCCUUCGGGUUGUAAACCGCUUUCGCCUGUGACGAAGCGUGAGUGACGGUAAUGGGUAAAGAAGCACCGGCUAACUACGUG
rnacentral:rRNA from 1 species